rnacentral:misc_RNA from 1 species
AGUUUCCAGUACUGCAUCCCUUCAUGGAAUGGCUUCUGUUUUCCUGGGUGGAUCCUGACUGAAAGAAGGAGUUCAAAAUAGGUCGUAAAGCAGCAGAGAAGAUGACUCGCAACAUCAACAACGCAUUUGGCCCAGGCACUGCUAACGAAUGUACAGUGCAGUGGUGGUUCAAGAAGUUUUGCAAAGGAAACAAGAGCCUUGAAGAUGAGGAGUGUAGUGGCAGGCCGUUGGAAGAUGACAACGACCAAUGGAGAGCAAUCAUUGAAGCUGAUCCCCUUACAACUACAAGAGAAGUUGCUGAAGAACUCAGUGUCAACCAUUCUACGGUCGUUCAGCAUUUGAAGUAAGUUGGAAAGGUGAAAAAGCUCAAUAAGUGGGUGCCUCAUGAGCUAAGCGAAAAUCAAAAAAAUUGUCAUUUUGAAGUGUUGUCUUCUCUUAUUCUAUGCAACAAUGAACCAUUUCUCGAUCAGAUUGUGACAUGCCACUAAAAGUGGAUUUUAUACAACAGCCGGCGACGACCAGCUCAAUGGUUGGACCAAGAAGAAACUCCAAAACAGUUCCCAAAGCCAAACUCGCACCAAAAAAAGGUUAUGGUCACUGUUUGGUGGUCUACUGCUGGUCUGGUCUAAUCCACUUUAGAGUUCUGAAUCCCAGCGAAACCAUUACAUGUGUGAAGUAUGCUCAGCAAAGUGAUGAUAUACACUGAAAACUGCAAUGCCUACAGCCGGCAUUAGUCAACAGAGAGGGCCCAAUUCUUCUCCACAACAAUGCCCGACCACACAUUGCACAACCAACGCUUCAAAAGUUGAACGAAUUGUACUACAAAAUUUUGCCUCAUCUGCCACAUUCACCUGACCUCUCACCAACCAACUACCACUUCUUCAAACAUCUCAACAACGUUUUGCAGGGAAGACAAUCCACAAUGAGCAGGAUGCAGAAAAUGCUUUCCAAGAGUUUGUCAAAUUCCAAA